UACGGAAGGGGCAAGCGUUGUUCGGAAUCACUGGGCGUAAAGCGCACGUAGGCGGAUUCCUAAGUCAGGGGUGAAAUCCUGGAGCUCAACUCCAGAACUGCCUUUGAUACUGGGAACCUUGAGUUCGGGAGAGGUGAGUGGAACUGCGAGUGUAGAGGUGAAAUUCGUAGAUAUUCGCAAGAACACCAGUGGCGAAGGCGGCUCACUGGCCCGAUACUGACGCUGAGGUGCGAAAGCGUGGGGAGCAAACAGG
rnacentral:rRNA from 1 species